AAUUAGUUAUUAUAAUUAUUUGAAAUAUGUAUUUUAUUGUUAUUUGAUAAAUACAAACUGGAUGGCUUCAUCGUGCAUGAUUACGCAAUUCUUAAUUUGCUCCAUGAUCAUAUUUACCCACAAACUGUAAAUAAUCCGCUGCAGUGAUGAAUUAUGAGAAUCAAUAAUGAAUCUACGGCAACUGAGGUCACCACAACUAUAAUUGAUCCCCAAGCAAGUUGCAAAUAUACAUAGAAAAAGUAAUCGUGAUCGUUAAAAAUCAAAUAAUUAACUUUGAGAAGUUGUUGUCGUGGUCGAGUUUCAUUUAGCGGAAGAAAUACGUCUAAUAUAGGAGAAAUUAAUGGAAUCAAUAAGAACAAUACCAAAGCUAUCAACAAUGCACCUAAAAAAGACAAGAAAAUAGCUUGAUAAUUGAUGUCCGGCAGUUAACUUUGGAGAAAGAAGAUCUAUGAUUAUACUAAAAUAUUGAUUACGCUUGCUGCAGUAUGGAGUUUACUAAGCGUACAAUAACAAAAGAUUUUCCAAUAAUUUUCCACUUAAAUUUGUCGAACGAAUUCUUAAAAAGUAAAUUUAUUCGCAAUAUGUAUUCGUUCUCGGUGUUUUCAAUAACAAUACCUAUUGCCGAUGAUUCUCAUUUCAUUUCGAAAAAAAUGUAUAUAAACUUUAUUCUUUCAGAUUAAAAUUACUAAUUAUAAUAUAUUUUUAGGAUAAUA